rnacentral:rRNA from 1 species
GGUGUACCGGAAGGUGUACCUGAGAUACCCCUC